rnacentral:rRNA from 1 species
CCUACGGGGUGCAGCAGUGGGGAAUAUUGGACAAUGGGCGAAAGCCUGAUCCAGCCAUGCCGCGUGUGUGAAGAAGGCCUUCGGGUUGUAAAGCACUUUCAGUGGGGAAGAAAGCCUUGGGGCUAAUACCCUCGAGGAAGGACAUCACCCACAGAAGAAGCACCGGCUAACUCCGUGCCAGCAGCCGCGGUAAUACGGAGGGUGCGAGCGUUAAUCGGAUUUACUGGGCGUAAAGCGCGCGUAGGCGGUCUGAUAAGCCGGUUGUGAAAGCCCCGGGCUCAACCUGGGAACGGCAUCCGGAACUGUCAGGCUAGAGUGCAGGAGAGGAAGGUAGAAUUCCCGGUGUAGCGGUGAAAUGCGUAGAGAUCGGGAGGAAUACCAGUGGCGAAGGCGGCCUUCUGGACUGACACUGACGCUGAGGUGCGAAAGCGUGGGUAGCAAACAGGAUUAGAUACCCCUGUAGUC